CAGAUGAAUGGACCAGAUAUUGCUGAUAACACAACCAUUCCCAGUACCCCUGCAGAUAAAAAGAGGCUUUCCAGUGUGGAAUUACCUGAUCUGCAGUCGCCCACUCAGGCAAUAACCAGCAAUCCAAUCAGUGUAGUGAAAAAAUCUAUACGACUUAAACUGAAGUGAUUGCGAGUAAGUACACAGAAGAAGGUGAGCCCAUAUCAAAACAAUAUACAGAUGCAUGUCAGGCAGGCAGGCAGGCAGGCAGGCUAAGCGUUCUCUUGUAUCAUAAAUCUCUAUUUUUAUCACAUCUGAAGAAUAUUGCUGAUAAUAAUUCAUGAGAAGUCACUUUAUGAAAAAUUAAACCGAUUGUAUGGUAACUAUUGUAAGGACACAUAUAGCCAAGUGUAACACAAUCCAGCGACGUGAUGAAAAACUGAUGCAUGGUAAUGUUCAGCAUCUGUUAUGUUUGCAGCUCCAGUUAGAAAAAAAGUCAGUUGUAAAUUUCUAACUCGUAGUUCCACUGUCUUCACUGUCAGAUGUCAAAUGAAUUAUACCAAUGAUUCCUAUGAAGAUUCUGAUUAUCUCGUUGCAGUUAUUUUUUCAUGGUUUUUUUUUUUUUUUUAUUUGUAUCUCCUUUUGUUGAAUGUUUAGCAAGUUUAGCUCAUAAGUGUCAUCCCAAAUUUUGUAGUUUUAUCAAUGUAUACACGAACAAUAUGUCCAAUUCUCGUUGUUUUGCGACUUUUGGGGGCUAAUAAUUGAUAAUGACACAGCCCAAGCAACGAUUUUAAUGUAAAAUUAGUUUCUGCAAUUAGGAAAUUCCAUCCGCUUUGUGAACUGACCUUUACAGAAUGCUGAGCUUGUUACUAAGUUUUGAUAACGUUAUUUCUUCUUUUCCUGAAGGCAUAGUUUUCAUUUCAUAUAUAAAUACAUUUGAGUAUUAGUUUUGGUACUGCCCCCAAAUAAAUAGUGCCAUGUAUGUUUUAUUUUAUUAUUGUCUCUUUGUUGCUAGUUCUAGUGUUUUAUUAAAAUGUUAAUGAUUGUAAGUAUUUUAAUGAACUAGAAUUUUAUCACACUCACAAAUGUAAAAAAAACCUGAGUAAUUUGGCAUGCUUUGUUGACUGUUAUAUGCUUGUUCAUCAUUUUCAAUCAUUCCUGUCUUGUUAAUUAGUUGAAAAAUGGUCAUGGAAAAACUGUCCUGUUUCAUUUUAUCAGAAGUUCUGCAGUCUCGUAUAACAUUUGUAUGAUGUAAUUGUUUGGACUAUUAAAAUAAAGCAAUAUAUAUAUUUUGUUUUUAGCCUUUGUUUGAAUCACGCUCUUGUAGUAUUCUAGCCAGAAUAAUCUUUAGGACACUAUUAGUUUUGUUGAUUUGUUGUUUACAUGUGCGAGUUAUUGUCCGAUUGAUUGGAGAGUCACUAUUAAAUAAAGGUUAUUUUACAUGA